CUUGAACUCAUUCUGAUUAAAUAGUUCAUCCUCCUUUUCUUUGCAGUUUCAGAGCAUGUUAAGGCUACCAGUAAUAUGUCAAGAAUCUGCACCCAGCAUUGCUUUUAUCUGACUGCCAACUCUGUAUCACCAUCAUGUACCAGCCUUCAAUAAUGGUCAGAUGGAACACACCCAGAGGAAAUGGAUGCACGUGAUGACAAGAAAACCAGAGUGGCCAGGAUGUAGGACACCUGGACUCUCAUUCAUGGCUGGUGGAAAUGUAAAAUGAUACGAUCACUUUUGAAAACUUCAGUAAGGAACUUUGCAGCUCCUUAUAAAGUUAAAUCCCUCUACCCUAUGACCCAGAAACUCCACUCCCAGUAAAGCUAAAGCAUCAGGUUACUCCCAGAC
rnacentral:lncRNA from 10 species